AAAUGUAAUUCACUAGGAAAUUGAAGACUUUUUAGGGAAGUUGGUAGGCUUAGUUCAGGUGGACACAGACUAGCAGCUUGAUAGUUUGUGCUAACACAAAAGUGCUAACUUACCUUAUGUUUCGUCAUCGUGGUGUUCCUUAUCCGUUCAAUUCAGUGAAUUACUCAAAAAAAAAAAAAAAAAAAAAAAACAAACACAACUUUAUAUACAGCUAAAAUAUAAGCCGUCUUGUGGCAUAACUGCUUGCGUUUUAGGAACCUAUGCUCCUAUCUGUUAUUUCAGUCAAACAUUUUCGUCGAUGAUAUGUUUUGAACAAAACGCCAUGCCGCGUUUAAUCACCUGAUUUGCUACACUCGACGUCAGCGUCGCGUCCAGACGGCGCCAUUUUUUUUUUUAUUUUUAAAGGUAACUUGACUGCUAAUGAGGAGAAAAGUGUCAGGAAAGAGAACGGCUCGGCUGACACAUUCAGUGCGCAAGAGUAUCAUAUGGCUUCACAGAAUUGGACUAUCUCUAGUAAUAUCUCAACUAUUUGAAAUACUACCUUAGAGAGAUCUUCUAGAUGUGUGUUGCAGUGGCAUGAAGAUUUCCACAUCAAGGGAGCAGUGGCAGUGAUGGAAUCAAAGGCUCGCCUGUGGCUUUGAACCCUCCUGAUGAAGAGAUGAAAAGGGCCAGGUUUUUUGCUGGAGCUCCUCGCGCUUCUCCACUCCAGUUUCUGUCUGGCCAGAAGCUGUGAUGGACAGUAGGAAAGAACAGAAGUGAGGACCAGUCUGACCCACAGCCGAUGCCUGGCAGGAAGAAACACUGGAAGGGAAAUAAAGACACUAAUCCUCGGCUGCUUCAGCAGGUCAGGUCGAGCUCGACAGUGUGCAUAGCUCAAAUGCAGACCCAGGAGCGUUUCCCAGCCUGCCAUUCGAAGGUUCACGAGAGCUUCAGUAUUAUUCCAGCAGAGAGCAUGGAUUUUAAUCUUCAUCUGAGUCACACCUGUCACACCAAAGUGAAAGUGUGA
rnacentral:lncRNA from 1 species